GCCUCUAUGGCGUAGUGGUAGCGCGUGUCACUUGUAUUACGUAAUCAAUGCAAGAAUAUGACAAGGUCACUCGUUCGAUCCGGGUUGGAGGCA